UUAUUUUUUGGUCUUUUGCUGAAAAAGUUCAUAUAUAUCAUAGGAACAAAGCUUAAAGGAAUGAGUAGCUGACAGUCCUUUAGUUAAUGAAUUUUAGUUAAAGUCCAAUUAUCAUCUAUGAUUUAUCUUCUCUUUAGAAUUAUUCAUCAUGUCAUGUUUUUAUUUGACAGUGCUUUAUUCUGUUUCUCAUCUCGUAUUAUAUCCCUUCUGGCUAUUUAUUGUAGGAAGCCAACUUUAUUCUCCCACACAUAACAAGUUCCUUCAUAUCAUGGUAUCAAAGCCAUUGCAAUAAGCAGCUGUGGAGCCCUAAAGGCGAAGAGCGGCAUGCCGCUCAGGAAGCUUCUAAAACCAUGGAUUCACAUCACUGUAAACAUAAAGAAGGGCAUUUUUGGAAUCUCAGAGAGAGAUGCAAUGCUAGAAAUGGAGACGAUUUCCAGAACAGAGACAGAUGUUGGGUUCUUAUGGAGAAGGUCAGACGUUGGCUGAGAGACACGUGGAGAAAUUUGGCUGGAUAAGAACCACGUCGGAUGGUCGGCUCCGACUGCUUUUGUAGGUUCCAGGCGCCCUCCCUCCAACUCCAUCUUCGAUCGCCAAAAGACGGAGUCUCCACACGUGCUAAGGUAGCUCGUGUGCGGGAUCUGGCACUUUCCAAAGGUGGGCAGUGUUCCCUGAUGAAUAUAUAGCCCGUGUACAUAUAAAGGUAGACGUUUAUAAAAAUAAAUAAUAAACGUCUGCGUUGAAAAUGCACGUAUUAGUGUCCCUAGUCAACGUUCUAUCCUCGCACGCGCAUGUGCCACGUAGGCACGUACGGGGAGUGGGUUUUGGUGCGUGCGUGAAGAUGGGCGGCUGGAAUUAGCAUUCCUCGUUAGUUACGUGAUACUCAUGAGCCAGAGAUCUGCAUAGUAGCGUAGGGUUUUCGGUUUCAAAGUGAGAUCAACGGUUCAGAUGCUAGUAUCUUAGACAUCAGAUCUAGGCCCUUUCAAGCUGAAGGUUGAUCCAACCAUAUUUUCCUUACUCAGUUCUUCUUUCUUCA